rnacentral:misc_RNA from 1 species
ACACCUCAACUCUCACGGUUUGUCCGUGAUGAGCUUGGACUUCUGGAGGUUUUGCUGGCCUGCGGUCAGCUCCUCUCAAAUGGAUCAGCUUACCAGUGUUUGGUGGCGCCAUGGGUGUGAUAACUAUCUACGCUUGUGGUCGUCUGCCAGGUAACCUUCAGUGAUGGAGGUUUGCUGGGGCUUACAAACGUCUUUCCUCAGUGAAGACAGCAUUUUGAAC